rnacentral:rRNA from 1 species
UACGAAGGGGGUUAGCGUUGCUCGGAAUCACUGGGCGUAAAGCGCACGUAGGCGGGUUGUUAAGUCAGGGGUGAAAUCCUGGAGCUCAACUCCAGAACUGCCUUUGAUACUGGCGACCUUGAGUCCGGGAGAGGUGAGUGGAAUUGCGAGUGUAGAGGUGAAAUUCGUAGAUAUUCGCAAGAACACCAGUGGCGAAGGCGGCUCACUGGCCCGGAACUGACGCUGAGGUGCGAAAGCGUGGGGAGCAAACAGG